CAGCCGCGGUAACACCGGCGGCCCGAGUGGUGAUCGUGAUUAUUGGGUCUAAAGGGUCCGUAGCCGGUUUGGUCAGUCCUCCGGGAAAUCUGAUAGCUCAACUAUUAGGCUUUCGGGGGAUACUGCCAGACUUGGAACCGGGAGAGGUAAGAGGUACUACAGGGGUAGGAGUGAAAUCUUGUAACCCCUGUGGGACCACCUGUGGCGAAGGCGUCUUACCAGAACGGGUUCGACGGUGAGGGACGAAAGCUGGGGGCACGAACCGGAUUAGAUACCCGGGUAGUCCCAGCCGUAAACGAUGCUCGCUAGGUGUCAGGCAUGGCGCGACCGUGUCUGGUGCCGCAGGGAAGCCGUGAAGCGAGCCACCUGGGAAGUACGGCCGCAAGGCUGAAACUUAAAGGAAUUGGCGGGGGAGCACAACAACGGGUGGAGCCCUGCGGUUUAAUUGGACUCAACGCCGGACAACUCACCGGGGGCGACAGCAAUAUGUAGGCCAAGCUGAAGACUUUGCCUGAAUCGCUGAGAAGAGGUGCAUGG
rnacentral:rRNA from 1 species